UUGCUGUGAUGACCAACUUAGGACACCUUUGGAUUAACCAUAAACAGUCUGUCCUAAAAUUAUACAUGCCUU